AUUGAACGCCGGCGGCAUGCUUUACACAUGCAAGUCGAACGGUAACAGGCCGCAAGGUGCUGACGAGUGGCGAACGGGUGAGUAAUGCAUCGGAACGUGCCCAGUCGUGGGGGAUAACGCAGCGAAAGCUGCGCUAAUACCGCAUACGAUCUCUGGAUGAAAGCGGGGGACCGAAAGGCCUCGCGCGAUUGGAGCGGCCGAUGUCAGAUUAGGUAGUUGGUGGGGUAAAGGCCCACCAAGCCAACGAUCUGUAGCUGGUCUGAGAGGACGACCAGCCACAGUGGGACGGGGACACGGCCCAGAGUCCGACGGGAAGCAGCAGUGGGGAAUUUUGGACAAUGGGCGCAAGCCUGAUCCAGCAAUGCCGCGUGAAGGAAGAAGGCCUUCGGGUUGUAAACUGCUUUUGUACGGAACGAAACGGUCCGGGUUAAUACCCUGGGCUAAUGACGGUACCGUAAGAAUAAGCACCGGCUAACUACGUGCCAGCCGCCGCAGUAA
rnacentral:rRNA from 1 species